AGAUGAAGUGCUUGCACUUCUGACGUUAGCGGCGAACGGGUGAGUUAACACGUAAGGAAUCUACCGUAUAAAGCGGGGGAUACAUUCGGAAACGGGUGCUAAUACCGCAUAAUAUCUUCUUCCGCAUGGAAGAAGAUUGAAAGACGGCUCUGCUGUCACUUAUAGAUGACCUUGCGGUGCAUUAGUUAGUUGGUGGGGUAAUGGCCUACCAAGACGAUGAUGCAUAGCCGACCUGAGAGGGUGAUCGGCCACAUUGGGACUGAGACACGGCCCAAACUCCUACGGGAGGCAGCAGUAGGGAAUCUUCCGCAAUGGGCGAAAGCCUGACGGAGCAAUGCCGCGUGAGUGAAGAAGGCCUUCGGGUCGUAAAACUCUGUUAUAAGAGAAGAACAAAUUGUAGAGUAACUGCUACAGUCUUGACGGUAUCUUAUCAGAAAGCCACGGCUAACUACGUG
rnacentral:rRNA from 1 species